rnacentral:lncRNA from 1 species
GACAACCCCUAUUGUCAACUUGAACAUUGUAUGUUCAAUAACGGUAACAUUACUCCAACUGGAGGUAUCAACUGUAUUAGAUAGAAGAAUAUUAGAAGUGAAAGAAAUAAGUCUAGAUGUAUUUUGGUUAUUUUUCUCAUACACUUCACCUCCUUGUAUUCAUAUCUGAAUGGCUGUAUUAAGACUUUAAUAUACUGAGCCUGUUGAGGAACCAAAAUCAGGGGAAACAUUUCUAUGGGGUGUAAUUAAGUAUUAAGAAUAGUACUGAACUGC